UAUUACUCGUAAUAAGAAUUAAAAAGAAACUAUAACUAUAAAAUUCAUAUAUUCAUUAUUCAUUCACUAUAAAUUUCAUUGCAGAUCUCCAAUGCUCCAAUUUGCCAAAUAAACCUGCUCGCCAAUAGAGAAAGGCGAGUACAACGGGACUCGUAUCUUCGUCCAUCAACGACACGGAAGACAAAGGAGAAAACAAGGUUCUCGACGGAGGCACAAUAUUCGCGUAGGUGAAAGGGGCCGGGAGCGUGGCGGCGCGUGUCCCACGUUCCCUCGAAUAAUAUGUAAACGCGCGUGGCACAGCCGCACCGACGCCGGCCACGCCGAAGACGGAGAAGGAAAGAAGAGGGAACACGGCGGGGCCAAGUAUUUGUCAGCAUUGCGAAACGUCAUAAUGGAGGCUCGAUGCUAAUAACGGAUUUUCGAAAGGGCAAUGCGCCCGGUGUAGGCGCGUGUCUCACCCCGGCGAGUGCAUAUACAGGAAAAUCAAGCACGCAUCACGUAUCCACGCGAGAGAAAGAUAUAUAUAUUAUAUAUGUACGAGAGUAAGCGAGAAAAGGAAGGCAAGGAUAGAUUAUAUAUAUAUAUAUACGCGAAUCGUGUCGCUUCAACCCCCCUGUUCGCAGCAGGAAGCCGUCGAAUCCUCGCGCUGUUGCACGCCCACGCAAACACGACUCUGCCACGGGGAGACAGGAGAGAGAGAAAAAUUGAAGGCACAUGAUAUAAUGACGACGCUGACAAAAGAACAAAACGGUUACGGGAGCUCACCUCUCCCUCCCCCCUCUUUUCUAACUACUCGCCCGGCCCUCCCCCCCCGUCUUUGACUCCCGUUGAAUAUUUAUAACUCGGUUUCGAAUCGCGAGAUCAUGCUUUUUACGGUAGUCAAGGGGGAGCACGAAAUAAGAGCGAGAGUAUUGAAAAAAGAUGGGAAGAGAAGAGGAGGAGAGGGGAGGAGGGACCAACGGCCCGUUUUGUUUGAUGUAUCGUGACGAGUGGAAAUCAAUUUUAAUUGAAUUGAUUAUAAGCUACCCACGGGAGGAGCGGUACACUGUCGCCGACAGUGAAACACGGUGACUGUGUACCGUACCCCAUAGGUCGGACGGUUGGCAAGUACCAUCUGAGCGUUUCACAACUUGGCAGACUCGCGAAACGUUCCGAUAAUGAACUUCGAGGAUUUCGUAUUCAUGUAUUCCAUGUGCGAGCGUCACUCGUUGUCUGCUAUGAAUGCAUUUAACCAAGGGACCAUCGAUCCACUUGUUCCGGUUAUAGAGAUUUGUUUCGAAACUGUCUAUGAUUAAAUCAAAUGGUAUCAUGAAAUUGAAAAGGAAAGAGAAUAUCUUUGUAUUCGAAUUUGGCAAUGCUCUUCGAAGAUCAUAUAUCAAGAUACGUCCAUCGAUCCACUUGUUAGGGUUAUAGAGAUUGUUUCGAAACUGUCUAUGAUUAAAUCGUUCAAAUGGUAUCAACGAUGAAAUUGAAAAGGAAAGAGAAUAUCUUUGUAUUUGAAUUUGGCAAUGCUCUUCGAAGAUCAUAUAUAUCAUAUCAAGAUACGUCCAUCGAUCCACUUGUUAGAGUUAUAAAGAUUGUUUCGAAACUGUCUAUGAUUAAAUCGUUCAAAUGGUAUCAACGAUGAAAUUGAAAAGGAAAGAGAAUAUCUUUGUAUUCGAAUUUGGCUCUUGUUCUUUGAAGAUUAUAUAUCAAGAUACGUCCAUUGAUCCACUUGUUAGGGUUAUAGAGAUUGCUUCGAAACUGUUAAAGCGCUUCUUUCCAUCAGUUCUCUGUAAAUCUUUGUAAUCUGAAAUAUUGAUUUUUACGUUGCAGGUAUCAACGAUGAAAUUGAAAAGGAAAGAGAAUAUCUUUGUAUUCGAAUUUGGCAAUGCUCUUCGAAGAUCGUAUAUACAUAUCAAGAUACGUCCAUCGAUCCACUUGUUAGAGUUAUAGAGAUUGUUUCAAAACUGUCUAUGAUUAAAUCGUUCAAAUGGUAUCAACGAUGAAAUUGAAAAGGAAAGAGAAUAUCUUUGUAUUCGAAUUUGGCUCUUGUUCUUUGAAGAUAAUAUAUCAAGAUACGUCCAUUUCAAAGAUGCAUCUCGUCUCAAAGAAAUUAUUAAAUCCGAAGAACCGAAGGUUGUAAGGGAGUUUCCCCCUUUCUCCCCGGGAACGUGGUUCGAUGGAUGGAUGGCCCCCACGGUAAUCCUCACCCUCGCCGAAAAAAAAAGAGCCAAGGGGAGGAGGAGGAGGGUUUAACAGUUUACACGUCGGAUCAUCCCUCGUUAUUGUUGCGUUUAUGAUAAUAGCGGCACGAACGCAGGCCCGGCUGACCGGUUCAACCCCAUCCAGAGGGUCGCAAUCGUUACCCAUGCUCAGGUAUUUAAUUAGACGGCUUUAUGCUGAAUUUCACAACGAGAUAUUAAUUUCUUUACUUCUUCAUAUUCUUCUUCCUUUCUCCGAGCAAGUGUAAAAUCACAGGGGAGAGGGCUGUAUUCUUCAAAGAUUGAUUCUCGAUUUUUUAGAGAUUGAAUGAAAUAAAUAGUAAUUGAUAAGCCGUUGAAAGUAUAGAAAGCUGUAUGGAUCCUAUCUUGAAAUUACCGAGCGGUGCAAUCUCGAUCUCUACAAUGUUUCAUCACGGAUACCGUUCUCCACGCCGGAAAUAAAAAGAGAAUCUAUGUAUGGCUGGUGAUUUAAUUGGAAAGUCGCGGUCGCCCAGAAAAAAAAUGAUUUUUCGAUGUUAAAAUGGCGGACAAUUAAUUACAAAAUGAAAGCUCCGCCUGCCUCGUCGCGAACCCCGCGAAAUUGUAUUGGAAAGCAGACGAGAAGCGGCGGGGGUGAGGGAAGAGGGGGGGAAGGGGGAGGGAAAGAGAGGGAGAUAUGUUCAUACGUAGAUAGUAUAUGCGCUGUGUUGCCUAUCCGCCAUGGGUAUUGGAUUGGAUUGGAUCGCCGCGUCAGCAAUACAAACACUCGAAGUCUCGAUGUGGGUCGGCCUCUCCCGUUCCUGUUUCAAACUGAAAUUACACUUUCCCGACCGACCCCGUCGUACCCCGAAGCCCCCCCUCCUUCUAUCUAGCUCCAUUUUCCCUUCACGUUGUAGUUUUUCUCUCGUCAUCAACAGCGUCCAAGAUUUUACCAAACUUCUUCGUCUAACUCCAACUAAACGUUAACGGUAACAAGAAGAUAUCAGAAAUCUUUGAGACACGGAGUUGAGAUGAAAUGAUAAGACAAUAGGAUUUUGGAAUCGCAAUUCAAAAGUCAAAAGAUUUAGGAUAAAUCUUGUGUGAGGAAAAUUAAUAUGGAUUUAAUUGGCGAAUGAAAUGUUGAAUAAGUAUUUAAUGGUGCUGGAAUUGUAAGGUGGAGAGAUAAUUUUUAUGAAGAGAGGAGAGGCAGAAGCGACCGGUUAGCCAAAGGUUUCCGUCCAAAGGAUUAGAAAUUAAAGGCGAGUCGGUGAAUUCGAGAUAUAAAUUUUCUCUCCAGCGGUUGAGAGUGAAAAAGAGUUGUGCGACCGCGGCACGGGAAUCGAAACCCUUUAGCCUCCGCUUUCCUCGAGAGGCGAGACCAACCGACUAACUCGAAUGAAAAGGCACCAGUGCUGGUAAGAGACACUUCGUACACGCUCCUGCUGGCGUGUAUCCGAGCACAAAAAAAAGAAGAGAAGGAAAAGGAAAUAGAGAAAGAGAGAAAAGAGACGAAGAGGAAGGAGAAGACGCUUAUUUAGCUUACCUUUUACUUACACGUGCUAUACAAUGUUUACCUACACCCACCUAAGCAUAUAAGACUGGAGGGACUGCUUGAGAGGAAUAAUGUUUGCGUAAGAAGAACGGAUAGCGAUUUCGAUAUUUAAAAAAAAAAAGGGAAAACGUCAAGGUUGCCGUAUUGGUGACUUUCAAAUCAGGAUAAGAUCCGAAUGUUUAAGAAUAGAAUCAAGCUUACUGUUUGCGAGUAAAACAAAUGAUAUUUAAUUAUUAACUUAAGAAUUAAGUAUUGAAAAACGAAGUAUUAACAAAUUUCUUUUCAGGUUGAAGAAAAUUUUUCAUUUUUCUUCUUUUCCAACUUUCUAAAACCUCGAUAUCAAAGCGAAAAAGACUCUACGAUUUCGGUGAUACCAUAUCACUUGUUUCAAAAACAUCUCACAAGGAGAGAAGAGUGCUGGGGAGAAAUACAAAGAAAAAGGAAAAAAAAAAAGGAGAAGAAGAAGAAAGAUGGACAUACAUUCUAUCCAAAUGUGGCGCAACUACCUGACGACAAGAACAAUGAAAGAGCAAAGAGCGUGCGUUCCCCAUCGUGGCUGGUAGCCGUGUACAAGAUGGCGCCAGGCAGGCCGGAGGCCGGAGUACCACUCGGGCGAUUUCCGGUGGCUUUGUUCCACGUACCACUCGUACACGGGGUGUAUUCGAUGAAACUCGAGGCUUAAAGGCGCGUUUUUCAGCCACGCUACCAGCUUACGUGCGUGCGCGCGAGAUAUAAAGAGGUUUUUCUUCUAUGAAGCCAGUUAGCCAACGAACCGGUAAUUCCUCCGACCGCCUUCUUCCUUCUCUCCACGCGGGCUCCUCUCGCUUUCUCCCUCUUUAUUUCUCUCUGUAUGCGCCCUCCUCUCCGUAGCCCCCUUCAACUUCCUCUUUUCGCACGCUCCCGACUUCAACUUCUUCCCCUUCUUCUUCUUCUCCUCCUCCGCCUCUUCCUUCUUCUUCCUCGUCUUUCUCCCUACCUCUCUUCCGUUCUUUCGCCGUGCUUCUUCCCUUUCUUUUCCCGCCCUUUGCUGUUUGCCCGCAUUCAUUCUCGCCUUUGCCAGACCCGUGGAAAAGAAGAAACGAGCCGGGUGCAACUCAAGAUUUCCCCUACUCCCUGGACCGCCACCCUCUUCCUCUUUCUCUCUUAGCGUUUUCCUGUUCCUCUUUUUAGUCGCCGGUAAUGGAGGCCCUCGAACGCCGGCCCUUCUAGCGCCUCGACGAGCCUGCCUCGGCGAAACGAAACGAAACGAAACGAAACGAGACGAGAGACGAGACACGUUUACCCCCACCCUCGACGAAUGACUUUUACUUUCUUCCUCCAUUCGUAGUCGAGCUCCGUUUUCCUGUUUCUGUCGGCCACGGUGAUUCGUUCGAGAGGAAAAUACCAACUUCUCUCUCUUUCGUCGGAAAAACCAGCGUUGCUGUGUGGUUCACAUAUCGCUUCAAAGAUUUGUCAAUUUUUAUUUUUUUUUACAUGGCUUGAUAUUAAUUAUAAAAUAUAUAUUUUUAUAUGAUAAUUUUAUGAUGCGUUAAUCAUAUUUGUACGAAAUAAUUGUAGAAUUAUUAAAAUUCAUAUUGACAAAAUCUACAUCACGAUUCUGAAUAUUGUAUAGGAUAUUCAUCGAUGAUUAUCGGAAUCCGCAACGCCGUUUUGGACAUUUGCCAAUGCGUUCGUGGCCUUUCGAUUGUAUCGAAAUCCACAUUGAGAUUUUACCCGAUUUAUACCGCGGCCGUCAAUUCGUAAUUAUUACUGAAAUUUUCGACUGGAUUUGAAAUAUUUUGCGGUUUUGUAAUUAUCAUUCGAACGUUGAAUUUUCAGUAUUAUUUGAAAUUUAUUCAAUAUCGUAACGUUAAAAAACGAAAGAUUCUAGAUAUUUUAUGGUAGACAUAAAAUUU